ACAUGCAAGUUGUGCGAGAAAGUAUCCUUCGGGAUGCGAGUACAGCGGCGAACGGGUGAGUAACACGUAAGCAACCUGCCCCUAAAUCCGGGAUAACCCUGCCAACGCGGGGCUAAUACCGGAUGUGGUUGAAAGGUCGCAUGAUUUUUCAAUUAAAGGUGACCUCUUCUUGAAAGUUACUGUUUAGGGAUGGGCUUGCGGACCAUUAGCUUGUUGGUGAGGUAACGGCUCACCAAGGCUGCGAUGGUUAGCCGACCUGAGAGGGUGAUCGGCCACAUUGGGACUGAGAUACGGCCCAGACUCCUACGGGAGGCAGCAGUAGGGAAUUUUGCGCAAUGGACGAAAGUCUGACGCAGCAACGCCGCGUGAGGGAUGAAGGCCUUCGGGUUGUAAACCUCUGUUGAGUGAGAAGAAAAGCAUGCGGGAUAAUACUCCGCGUGUCUGACGGUAUCACUCGAGGAAGCCCCGGCUAACUACGUGCCAGCAGCCGCGGUAAUACGUAGGGGGCAAGCGUUGUUCGGAAUUACUGGGUGUAAAGGGAGCGUAGGUGGAAAGGUAAGUUAGGAGUGAAAGAUACGGGCUUAACCCGUAGUCCGCUUUUAAUACUGUCUUUCUUGAGUAUGGGAGAGGAUGACGGAAUUCCUGGUGUAGCGGUGGAAUGCGUAGAUCUCAGGAAGAACACCGGUUGCGAAGGCGGUCAUCUGGCCCAAUACUGACGCUGAGGCUCGAAAGCUGGGGGAGCGAACAGGAUUAGAUACCCUGGUAGUCCCAAGCCGUAAACGAUGGACACUAGAUGCUGGAAGAGUCAAUCCUUUCAGUG
rnacentral:rRNA from 1 species